CGACCGGCGCACGGGUGAGUAACACGUAUGCAACCUGCCCUCUUCAGGGGGACAACCUUCCGAAAGGGAGGCUAAUCCCGCGUAUAUCGGUUUCGGGCAUCCGAGAUCGAGGAAAGAUUCAUCGGAAGAGGAUGGGCAUGCGGCGCAUUAGCUAGACGGCGGGGUAACGGCCCACCAAGGCGACGAUGCGUAGGGGUUCUGAGAGGAAGGUCCCCCACACUGGUACUGAGACACGGACCAGACUCCUACGGAAGGCAGCAG
rnacentral:rRNA from 1 species